rnacentral:rRNA from 1 species
CCUACGGGUGGCAGCAGUGGGGAAUAUUGGACAAUGGGCGAAAGCCUGAUCCAGCCAUGCCGCGUGUGUGAAGAAGGCCUUCGGGUUGUAAAGCACUUUCAGUGGGGAAGAAAGCCUUGGGGCUAAUACCCUCGAGGAAGGACAUCACCCACAGAAGAAGCACCGGCUAACUCCGUGCCAGCAGCCGCGGUAAUACGGAGGGUGCGAGCGUUAAUCGGAAUUACUGGGCGUAAAGCGUGCGUAGGCGGUCUGAUAAGCCGGUUGUGAAAGCCCCGGGCUCAACCUGGGAACGGCAUCCGGAACUGUCAGGCUAGAGUGCAGGAGAGGAAGGUAGAAUUCCCGGUGUAGCGGUGAAAUGCGUAGAGAUCGGGAGGAAUACCAGUGGCGAAGGCGGCCUUCUGGACUGACACUGACGCUGAGGUGCGAAAGCGUGGGUAGCAAACAGGAUUAGAUACCCCAGUAGUC